rnacentral:sRNA from 1 species
UGYAUCUGAAGCCUGACGAGGAUGAGAACCUCCGGGGGCAAGAGGUUCGACYCGAGCGMAGCGAGAGAACGUUGCGUCAGCAACGGCCCGCAGGGCGAGCCACGCAGUGGCGAGUCAUCCUCUAUCACCGGCAG